GCUGGAGUGGCGCAAUUGGUAGCGCACCGGUCUUGUAAACCGGCGGUUGUGGGUUCGAGUCCCAUCUCCAGCU
rnacentral:tRNA from 5 species